rnacentral:rRNA from 1 species
GACGCUAACUGAUGCAACCUGCCUGAUCCCGUAUGCU